UACGUAGGGGGCUAGCGUUGUCCGGAUUUAUUGGGCGUAAAGAGCGUGUAGGCGGCCAUGUAGGUCCGGUGUGAAAACUCGAGGCUUAACCUCGAGAUGUCAUCGGAAACCAUUUGGCUAGAGUCCGGAAGAGGAGAGUGGAAUUCCUGGUGCAGCGGUGAAAUGCGCAGAUAUCAGGAAGAACACCAAUGGCGAAAGCAGCUCUCUGGGACGGUACUGACGCUGAGACGCGAAAGCGUGGGGAGCGAACAGG
rnacentral:rRNA from 1 species